AUACUUACCUGGAUGGGGUCAAUGGGUGAUCACUUAGGCCCAUGGUCUGGAGCAGUGACUUUUAUUGCACUUUAAAAGGGUGCUGUUCUAAGGUCUGUCAAAGUGACAGAGCCUACGUCAAAAUUUGUGUCAGAGGGGCUUGCGUUCGCGCAGCCCCUAC
rnacentral:snRNA from 1 species